rnacentral:rRNA from 1 species
AUUAGCGGCCAUAGCGGCGGGGAAACACCCGGUCUCGUUCCGAACCCGGAAGUUAAGCCCGUCAGCGGCUUUGAACGCACUGUUCUCUAGAACGGAGCGGCAUGCACGCUGCUAAUC